rnacentral:misc_RNA from 1 species
AAUUCUCAAAAUCUCUUUUCUUCUGGAAAAGGUUUCUUGGACUUGGAGGUUCAAUGCUCGCCUUCACCUUUGAAGGUGAGCUCCUCUCAAAUGAAUUAGUGGGUUCUGCUCUGCCGGUCCUUGACGUGAUAAAAUGUUUCUACGUUUUGGAUUUGGCACUGUCUCUUGGACACCUGCUCCUAACCGUCUCAUGGACAAAUGAGGGUGCUUCGGUCACCGCCGUUGGCGGGAGGCUGGGCCCACGGAAAAAC